rnacentral:lncRNA from 1 species
AUUGGCUAACAGCUGUACAUAAUUAGCCAUCCAGGAUAGAAGGGUCUGGGAUUCCUUUAUGAGGUGCAACCAAAACAGCUGUUUGACAUAGCAACAGGGAUAUUCUGUCAAGGUGUCUCUCUAGCAUUUGUUCUUAAUACCGUUGUGGUUUUGAUCACUAAAAUGGCUGUGACUUUUGGACUCUCGUUGAGUGUUUCUUGGAUUUGCUGCCUGCUAAUUGGAGGGAUAACUUGUUUUACACUUAAAGGUAAUUCUUAUGGGCAUCCUGCCUACACUGGACCUGAACCAAUUGGAUCCUAUGCCCAAGCAAGUGUGGUGCGUAGUCCAAAUGCUAAAGCUUCUGGCCCCAAUGCCACGUCAGCAGAAGCUACUGGCCCCAAUGCCACGUCAGCAGAAGCUACUGGCCCCAAUGCCACGUCAGCAGAAGCUACUGGCCCCAAUGCCACGUCAGCAGAAGUUACUGGCCCCAAUGCCACGUCAGCAGUUACUGGCCCCAAUGCCACGUCAGCAGAAGCUACUGGCCACAAUGCCCCGUCAACAGAAGCUACUGGCCACAAUGCCACGUCAGCAGAAUCUACUGGCCACAAUGCCCCGUCAAGUGUGAAGUCCGGCCCCGGCGCCUCAGCAGAAGCGUCCGGCGCCUCAGCAGAAGCGUCCGGCGCCUCAGCAGAAGCGUCCGGCGCCUCAGCAGAAGCGUCCGGCGCCUCAGCAGAAGCGUCCGGCGCCUCAGCAGAAGCGUCCGGCGCCUCAGCAGAAGCCUCAGGAGAAGCGUCCGGCGCCUCAGCAGAAGCCUCAGGAGAAGCGCCUCAGCAGAAGCGUCCGGCCCCGGCGCCUCAGCAGAAGCGUCCGGCCCCGGCGCCUCAGCAAUAGCAUCCGGCCCCGGCGCCUCAGCAAUAGCGCCUCAGCAGAAGCGUCCGGCCCCGGCGCCUCACCAGAAGCGUCAAGCCUUGAACAGACCACCCGACCACUCAACUAGGGAGAUCAUAAUUUGGUUUGCCCAACUCCUUAAUCGUCGUUCCCCUGUUACUGUGCCUCCCUUUAGAAGAAAAGGUAACUGAGGUGGGGAAAUGUGCCAACUAAUGCUCUUGUUUGAAAUGAGGAUCUCCUUCACUUGUCCAGCGUCAUGCAAAUUGUUUACAGGGGUGGACGCUACAAUGGUAUAAAUGGUUUUUAUAACCAUACGACUAAAAUUGACUUCUGACUUGCCAAUAUUGCUGACACACUUUUAGGUUCUACGGUUAUGCUUUUGAUUUAGCCUGGUGUUCCUGCUACUCUUCCAUGAUAUGCUCAAUAAACAAUUUGACUUUCAAUAUACCUUGUCC